GUAGGUGGCAAGCGUUGUCCGGAAUUAUUGGGCGUAAAGCGCGCGCAGGCGGUUCUUUAAGUCUGAUGUGAAAGCCCACGGGCUCAACCGUGGAGGGUCAUUGGAAACUGGAGAACUUGAGUACAGAAGAGGAAAGCGGAAUUCCACGUGUAGCGGUGAAGUGCGUAGAGAUGUGGAGGAACACCAGUGGCGAAGGCGGCUUUCUGGUCUGUAACUGACGCUGAGGCGCGAAAGCGUGGGGGGCAAACAGGAUUAGAUACCCUGGUAGUCCACGCCGUAAACGAUGAGUGCUAAGUGUUAGGGGGUUUCCGCCCCUUAGUGCUGCAGCUAACGCAUUAAGCACUCCGCCUGGGGAGUACGGCCGCAAAGGCUG
rnacentral:rRNA from 1 species